GCACACAGAGGCCAGACCAGGGCAGUGCUGUGAGGCCCCAAAGAACCUUCGGUAGGCGACAUGAGUGGGGGACAGAUUCUAACACCUUGAUUCCUCAUGUGUGUGUUUCUGCAGCAUGGAGCAUUGACAGUCUGUGUGGCAGCAUCCACGAUGAAGAUGACACAGACUCGGUGGUGGAGAGCAGCAACAGCCACCAGGACGAGGAGGCUGCAGAAUCUUGCUUUGGGAGGAAAGGAUCUUGCUUCAGGAGCCUGAGGAUAAGUUUGUCCUCUGCGAGCUUGGCUAGACUAAUCCCCUGGUGGCCGCACAACAGGGUGCACCCAGCCACUGAGCCAGAUGAAGCAACGCACGACGAUGUUGUGGAGGCCGGUGGGAGUGAGAAGACCGAGGAGGAGGCCCAGGCUGUGACCAAGGAGGAGGAGGCGGGCCCGGCCCCUGAGAAGGGGGCAGAGGAGGCCGCAGCCGUUGGCGAGGCAGAGGAGGAGGCGGGCCCAGGCAGUGACAAUGACAAGACGUCCCCAGCCAGGGCUGGGGCUGAGCAGGAAGAUGAAUCUGCCCCCAAGGUGGACGGGACGGACGGUGAAAGCUGUGAGUAUUCUGGAACCCUGCUCCGCUGA
rnacentral:lncRNA from 1 species